UCCAACACAGCCAUCACAUGACCAAAUGAUGUGUUUCCUGCUUAAAUACAGUGUUUGACCAGCCAUUAUCUGUCACCGCUCACCUUCAGUGGGCGAGCGGCGGCGGUAAACCCCGGGCAGCUCAUCACAGGGCUGCCAGUAAUUAUGUGCUUUUAUGAUUAGAGCCCAGCGGUGUGGCAGGUUCAGCCCUCCAGUCAACCGUACGGCUGGAAGCCGCCACAGGCUGUCAGCUGGACGACCGCUAACGUUAGCCGGGGUCACUGAGCUGCUGGUCUGGAGGUCUACGUGAGAGGGAAACAAAGAGGUCUGCAGGCUGUAUAGUGUCAGAGGUUUCACUGUGCUGGGGAGGAGGAACAGUCUGACACACAGUUAUGGCACCGCGACAGGGUUUUGCAUCAUUGUGGUGCUGUUGCUGUAAAGUGAUUGAGCUCUGAAGAAUUCAUCCUGCUUCAAUCCGCUAACUCAGACUCUGAAGAGAUCUGGACAAGGUAACGACGAAAGCAGCGGCUGCUGAGGUGCGUGGAUUUGGUUCACUUGUGGCACUGGUCUACAUGUCCCACAUAGUGUCACCUCCCAAAUCCUGAAUCACUGCGAUUCAGGGUCACGUCUGGUGCACGCAGCUCUGCUCCCUGCUGAUUGGCUGCUGGUCAGUCAUCCACAGGGAGCUGCUGGACACACAGACGGACGGACCGGCAGCACGCAGGGUUCGGCAUGCUGCCUGUACUUCAGACUUUGCUCUGCUGGUGUGUGAAUGCUACCAACAACAAUGAUGGGUACUACACACUGCUGUGCUUUUGUUUUCCACGAGCGGCUCUCUGUCUUCCCGCUCUCUCCACCCUCCUGUUCGGAGCUGGUGGCUCAGAGCCGACUGAACGCCGAGCUCAGCCUCACGAGGAUGCAGCAGAGCAGACAGAAGCAGUGGAGAGGUGGAGUGAAGGUGGUGCGAAAGCUCGUUUAGCCUCAAGUUAUCACCAAAGCCCCCGUCAGCCUCCAGGUUUCUUGCGGACGUCCACAUGUGGCCCAGAAGCUGCCGUGUGUGGUGUGGUGCGCUCAUGUGUGAACACGCCUGCCAAUGAAGACACGCAAUGCAGAAUAAACAGAAGCACCUUCGCUGUCACGCCCACGUCAGGACCUCCGGGCGGAGCGCUGUGGUCAGACACCUUUCUGCUCUGCAGUCAUUAUGUUCAAACAGACUGAAGACAGCAAUAAUUACCAGAUCACGAACUCACAAAAGGCUUCACUGACAAUUAGAACAAUUAGAUAAAGCCACCCUGAGCUGCUAAAACCCCGUCCUACCCAACAGGGUUCCUGUGUGGGCUCCCUGUGGACAUGGGAGAGGACAUCAGCACUAGGUGGUCCAUGUGUUGGUCCUUCUCUGCUGUGUGUCUGAUCCAUCGGUCGCGGUGACCUGUUAGACCUGAAGAUUAAUGUGAGCAGGAAGAUUUGAGGAGGGAAACCAAAGUGCCCGAGGGGGCGUCCCUCUUCGUGAGCUCCAGUUUGAGGUUCAGAAGUGCCCGAGGGGGCGUCCCUCUUCGUGAGCUCCAGUUUGAGGUUCAGCUCUUGAAGUGAGGACAUGAUGACAUUUCUGAACACUGAGGACAUCU